UGCUAUGUGCGUGUAGGAACCCAGAGCUGCUGUACUGAUUUAAUUGUGUGUUGUACACAGGUAUGCAAAAUAAAACCCCCGUUCAACUGGCAAAGCAGAAGAUGUCUGUCGUCCAUUACUACGCAUACUGAAAUUGAGGGAGUGUCAGGCCAGACCGGCUACA